AACGAACGCUGCGGCAGGCUUAACACAUGCAAGUCGAACGAGAUCUUCGGAUCUAGUGGCAGACGGGUGAGGAACACGUGGGAACAUCCCUUUCAGUUCGGAAUAACGUUGGGAAACUAACGCUAAUACCGGAUACGUCCUGCGGGAGAAAGAUUUAUCAGUGAAAGAUUGGCCCGCGGCUGAUUAGCUAGUUGGUGAGGUAAUGGCUCACCAAGGCUACGAUCAGUAGCUGAUCUGAGAGGAUUAUCAGCCACAUUGGAACUGAGACACGGCCCACACUCCUACGGGAGGCAGCAGUGGGGAAUUUUGGACAAUGGGCGCAAGCCUGAUCCAGCCAUGCCGCGUGCGUGAUGACGGCCUUCGGGUUGUAAAGCUCUUUUGUCCGGGAAGAUAAUGACUGUACCGGAAGAAUAAGCCCCGGCAAACUUCGUGCCAGCCGCCGCUGUAA
rnacentral:rRNA from 1 species